GGGACUGCGGAGACAUUACACAAAUAUGAAGGCGGGCUGGAACCUCUCGGGGUUACAGCCUUGCUGAAUUAUUCACCCUUGUCUUUUGCGUACUUCUUGUUUCCUUGGUGGGUUCGCCCACCACUAGGACAAACAUAAACCUUUUGUAAUUGCAAUCAGCGUCAGUAACAAAUUAAUAAUUACAACUUUCAACAACGGAUCUCUUGGUUCUGGCAUCGAUGAAGAACGCAGCGAAAUGCGAUAAGUAGUGUGAAUUGCAGAAUUCAGUGAAUCAUCGAAUCUUUGAACGCACAUUGCGCCCUUUGGUAUUCCAAAGGGCAUGCCUGUUCGAGCGUCAUUUGUACCCUCAAGCUUUGCUUGGUGUUGGGCGUCUUGUCUCUAGCUUUGCUGGAGACUCGCCUUAAAGUAAUUGGCAGCCGGCCUACUGGUUUCGGAGCGCAGCACAAGUCGCACUCUCUAUCAGCAAAGGUCUAGCAUCCAUUAAGCCUUUUUUUCAACUUUUGACCUCGGAUCAGGUAGGGAUACCCGCUGAACUUAAGCAUAUCAAAA
rnacentral:rRNA from 1 species